AUCAAGCCUGACCCCGCGCUCUCACCCAGUGUCAUGUAAGCAGACAGGUGUGCACAUAGAUGUGGAGAUUCGGACAUACUCCUUGACACAGUGAUUUGUUAUUAUCAUCAAGAAAAAUAAACAGAACAAAAUGUCUUUAGUAUGGAAAUACUUUAAAAUUAACAAUGAGAACCAAAGCAUGGCAGACUGCAAACUGUGCUCUACUAAAUUAUCAAGAAGAGGUAGGAAAAUGGGUUCAUUCAACACCAAUAAUCUAGUUAUAAACAUCUGAAAAUUAAAUGGAAGAGCACAAUGAAAUUCCCACCAGCAGCAAUCUUCAACAACCCAAUGUGCAGCAAACACUAGCAGAGAGAGAAAAUGUCAAACGGUAACCCCCGUCCAGUGAAAGUAACAGAGGCUAUUAACAAGUACAGUGGAAACUGCUUAUAGUGAUCACAUGUGUCUUGGUGAAAUUGAUCACUACAUGUGGAUGAUCGUUAUAACUGUUUUUUUUUUUUAGAUCACCAUCUAAUUCACAUUUUGUAUAAUUAUUACAUGAAUAUUAGGUAAUAAAACAGACAUCAUAGCUAUUUACUGAAUUUUAUUGAAUCUUGAAGAAUAUAUUACAGCAGUUUCAAAUGCUUUUCAAAUGAUAAAUUUCAAUAUAACUGUUUAGCACUGUUGCCUCACGCCUGAAUGGUGUGUGAGUGUGCCCUGCGAUGGGCUGGCCCCCCAUCCUGGGUUGUUCCCUGCCUCGUGACCAUUGCUUCCAGGAUAGGCUCCGGACCCCCCGCGACCCAGUAGGAUAAGCAGUUUGGAAAAUGGAUGGAUGGAUGGAUGGUAUUAUCACCGCUGCAUCUCAUUGGCUCAUUUUUGCCAGUUUAUCAUAAGCUUUGUUGAGUGUAUAUUUGUCACUGAAAGAAAAGCACUUUUAAUUAUUUUCAUGUGUUGUCAUGUGUAAAAAGACCCAAAAUGAACACUGUUAGCUGGUGAAGAUCGCUUACAAACAUUACGUAAAAGGAACUUGGUGUAUUAACAGGAUCAGGUUGGGUCGUGAAACAAAAUGGAACAAAUUGGACACCGUCAUAAAAUAUGGCAUAAAAUGUAUUGCAUGAGCACUUGUGCAGACACGCAAAGUACAAAUUGGGCAUGCGCAGGAAGAUAUCUCAUAAGGCGAAGUUAUCAGAAAACUUUGGUCAUGAACAGUGUUUUUGGGCAGCGUGCGUUGUUACGUGCCAAUUUUCUAAAAAUUAUGAAAAACAUCUUUAAACGAAUUUAAUGUCAAACUUGUAAAUUGAGAGCUCAGGAAGCAAGAACUACCUGUACUGACUGUGCAGACCAUUGUGCGUGGGUUUGUAUGUACUGACUGCAGACCAUUAUGUAUGGAUUUGGAUACUGGAUACUGUUUGCAUUUGUGCGUGGGGCUGGGGGGUAUUUUGUGGUUAUUGUUUAACCCGAUAUUUAAAAAUUACAAUUGUAUAUUGUCUUUUUAGACAUUGCAGAGCCCUAAUUGGUAUCAGUAUUGGCGUGCCAGCAUUGAUACUCGUCCUUGGUCUGGAAAAAAUAGUAUUGUUACAUCCCUAGUUAUUAUGAAUAUGUUCUGCAUACAUAACUUUUGCCAGUCUGGCAGGCUUCUCCUGUUUCACCAGAAAAUACCUAAAUACUGAGAAAUUACAUAUCAUAUAAAAUUCUCAGAAUACAAGAAAUCUUGCUUAUGUUAUAUAAUGAAACUGCUUGUUGCUGAACUAAUCUGUCAAAGAACUCCCACAUCACAUCCUGAUGGGUUCAGAACAAAAAACCAUCACAUGCACCGCUAGAUGGGUGUGUGAUUCUGGCCAAAUAAGGGAGAUGAUGCACUAAUUUUGUAAGUUACAGAGUAAGAGUUGUAUUUCACUGCAGUAUGAAUUGGCAUAUUUACUAGAAACCCACACAGCUGUUACGUGUGUGAAGGUUAAAGUUGGUCACCAGUCUUGCAGUCAGCUGGCUGCUACAUAAUUCAGGGUAGGUACCUGUACAGAAAUAUAAAUGAUACAGCUGAACCUUGUAUCUUCAGACCAGUUAUAGAUUUGAGGUUGCUAUCGCUUUCUUGUAGAACCUGAGUGUGAGUUGUCAAAGACAAAUGACCAGACCUUAGUUAACACAUUUUCAGGAGUUAUGCUUUUGUUGUUUUUGGGUGCAGCUCAGAAAAUUGAGUCUCUGCCUGCCACCAAGUUAAUGUUUUUAUCAGUCAAUUUUUCUGCCCGUUUCAUUUACUGUUCAAUACUAAACUACUUUUAAUAUCAACAUGGAAUUUAUUCAUAUCAGUUCAGCUUUGUACUUGUUUAUUUUUAUAAAAUAUACAAUAAUUACGUAUGUAUUUAUUUUUUGGAAAGUUGUCUUCCUUGUAGGGCUGCACAAUUGAUCGAAUUUUAAUCACGAUUUUGGCUGCCACAAUUAAAUUGAGAUGAUCGUCGACGAUAUUAACAUUUGAAUAGCGGGCUCUGCUGCAUAUCAAAUCAAGCACUUUCUCAACCAAAAGUCAGCCAACCACCAAGGGGCGAACGAAAGCAUAGACUGUAUGAGCAACAUCCUCAAAUUAUGACAGUGAGACGUAAUGUCGGGAGCAGAAUGUCAUAUGUUUUUGUGCUUAUUAAUUUAAGUAUUUCCAAAGAUUAAUCUUAAUCCCACAACAGUAAUAAAAUAAAAGCCUUGCUUUAACAUAAAUAAUAAAAGAAUAGAUCGCUUUAAUCGCUUUUACAGUUGGGUAUGUGCACGCGGUCUUAUUUAGAAAAGAUACAAAAAGAGACGCAUAUAAUGUUUAUCCAUUCGUUUUGUAUUUGUCCGAGUAACAAAGCAAAAGAAUGAUAAGCCGCUUCAGUCGAAAACUGCAUUUACUUCUCAUUUAAAAUAAAAAGCAGGGUUGGCAACUUUGUCAGCUGCAUGGAGCGAGAUUUUCUGUUCUUUGUUCCGCGAAUACAUUUACAUGUAUGUAAGUUUUAUUACCUUGGAAAUAGUCUGUGGAGUCUGCAAACUGCCGUAACGUUUUUGAUGCAUCUAAUUUUAAGUUCAGAAUGGAAUAUCGAUUUGCCGUAAGAUUUCUUGCGUGAGAGUGUGAAAGAGUUUGCAACCCUGAAUAUGUACAUUUUUUUGUUUCACCUGAAUUGACUUGUACAGAAAAUAACAAUAUACAGUAGCAGAAACCUCGACCAACAUGAAAUCACCAAUAAACGACUUCUAUUUAUUCAACAUUUUAUAAAACGCAUGCUACGUUUAAAAAAUUCCAGCUUUACGGUUUCAGGACAGAACCGCCACUCUGUUAUGAACAUUACGGCUUUUGGAGUGUUGUUAGCUGCUGUUAUUAACACUAAUAACACAUUAGCGCAAACAAAAGGGCUGCAUACACCGAAGUAGUUCUUGCUUGUUCAUCGGCGUGGGAAAAGGCGGUUCUAGUGCUGUUAGGGGGUAAUUGGCGUUACCUGCAAGAUCGCUAUUUUUCUUUUUGCUGCAAUUGUUUUCAUUGUUACUUUAUUUAACUUGACACACCACAUCUUUAAAUUCUCAUCCUUGCAUUAGAAUAUAGACCAGUUAAUAUUGAUGGUAUCUCAUGCUGUGUCAUGUGUUUUAAAAUUACUACAAACUGAAUAUUUAACUGAAGCUAGACAUAAAAAAAAGUUAAAUCGCAAAUCACCCUCUGCACACCACUUUCUCCAAACAGAAGAGCAUGUUCGGUGAUAGGCUCCUGUCUGUCAUGCAGAACAGACAGGCUCAGAAGGUCCUUUGUCCCUAGGGCCAUACAGCUCUUCAAGGCCACAUGGAUGGGGAGGAGUGUGAUGGACUGAAGUGUUUAGGCCUGUAUAGCAGACUGCCCUUCUGUUUUCCUUUUUAUUGUUGCGGUAUGUACAGUAUGUGUGCAUGAAUGUCAUUGGUCUGUGUUUCUAUAUGUACGUAUAGUUUGUAUAAGCUACUGAACACCUAAAUUUCCUUCUUGAUAAAUUAAGUAUCUAUCGAUCGAUCGAUCGCAAUGUCUGCCAGAAAAAUCGUUAUUACAUAUUUCCCUAAAUCGUGCAGUAGUACUUCCUUGAGGUCAUCUCAGGGUGAGUUAAGCUACUCCAUGCCCCUCCAUGCUGCCGCGUCUGAGUUAUUUUUGUAUCCACGGGUUCCGCAUCUGCAAAUUCAACCAACUCUGGCUUGAAAUUAUUCAAAAAGCAAAACUUGUAUUUGCUGCGCGCCUAGCAAUACACUGAUUCCAUGUGAAUUUAUAUGAUGAGCAUAAAAAGAAACUCACCAAGGUUUUCUUUCGGGUAGUUUUCAAUUUGCCUGAUGUGGUGUAUUAUCUUACGAUAUUUUAAGGUAAGUACGUAAGAAUCAGUCACCUGAUCAUGAUUGAUUGAGAUUUGAAGGGUUGGCUGAAUUUGUGGGGAUCACAAUAUGCAAUAAAGGUGACCAAGAAUACUCUGGUCAUCAGCUUUAAGAUAUCUUUUGUGGCUUCUUGCUGACAUCAUACCUUGGUGAGAAUCCUCUCAGAAAAUCACUAGAAGUUAAAAGACACCAUGCCAACGUGAGCCAGCAGCUGUGCCUUUGGGCAAUUCAUAGUUUUCAAGUAACGUCAAAUCCUGAUAGCCUGGAACCAAGGCUUUAUGCUCCAUUCCAUUUGAACUCAUGUGUCAGAAAUUCUGAGUUUGUUGUCGGGAAUUUCAAAUGGAACACCCGCUGAAGUCAGAAUUCACGGAGGAACCUCUGCAGCCCUGACCUCAGAAUUCAAGAUGGCCGCACCCUUCAUCAACAGAAGUGAGCUCUGCAGCUGUAGUUAUGUAUUAUAUAUUAGCACUUAUGUCUUAUUUGUGGCUCAUUAAAUCAGUUGUACACACCACACUGUCCAGCCACUAUCUGUGGACGUGUUGCUACUGUCUUUGUAUGUGCAAAAUACUGCAUAAUAUGUUCUUUUCAGUUGGUCUUGCUAUCAAUGGCUAACAAUGAACCUGGCUAGAACUGGAGCCUGUUUCAGAAAGCAGGAUUUCUUGUUUAGCUCGAUAAAUUGUUGGAUUUAAUGUGGUCUGGACUAAAUUUAAGUAAACUAAGAAAAAAUGCAUUUAAACUGUGGAAUGUACCAUAAAUCCAACAAGUUAUCUGGCUAAGCAUAAAAAUCUUGCUGCUUAAAGCAGGUACCUGGUAUUGCUAAAUGGCUUUCCGACCUAUUGUACUGAAAUGUGGUUAAUCGAGUGUGAUGGAGCUGGGAAUGACAACUGACCUCCAAGGUACAUGGAACGCAGCGCUAGUACCUGGCUCCAGGUUCCUGGGCUGUCUUAACUGAGAACCUUUGUAGCUCCUGGCCACUUUUGUGUUUUACUUUCUCACCACACAACAGGAACUGGGACCUUUAUGUUAAAAAAGCAUAAGAGAUGAGCAUGGGAGGCUAAAAGCUGGUAGAUUAAAAUUCAGAGGUAAUUUCAUACAAAACUACAACGCCACCCCAAAACAACUGAGGAUGAGCAAACGGUUCUGUUAUUGAACAAGUCAUUAUCAAAAAGUCACCCACAGACUUUUAUUUAUAUUUAAUAUAUACGACCCGCGACAUUUUUAUAGUUCAUUAUUAAAUCUGGCCAGCAAUUUGAUCUUUUGUUUCCCACAAGAUAAAAACGAUGUAUUGUUAUUCCUCAAACAAUGUAUUGUCAUUUCACUAAUAAGCACAUCCGACAUUUACCACUGGCCCCACUGAUGUUAGACAAAGGUAUUUCAGUUAUCGUUCGAAUUUACUAAUGCAGAGAUAGGGAGAGCCCAGCAAAAGUAUUCAUUAAUUCAUGUAUGUCGGACAUAAUAUGAUGAGUUGAAUUGGAAUUACCAAAUUGACCAUAGGUGUGCAUGUGUGAGUGAAUGGUGUGUGCGCGUGCCCUGUGAUGGGUUGGCACUAGAGGUCGACAAAUAUAUCGGCCGGCCGACAUUUGGCAUUUUUUAAUGUAUUGGCAUCGACCGAUAUCCGAGCGUAGUACGCCGAUUUACAGACAGGCACGUCUGCGGGCAGCCCAGUGUUAUUGUUGCGGUGGAACACGUGACCCAUGCUGCCUCGUGCAGGACCCCAGUCAGAAGAUUUGGAAGAAUCCUGGGAGAAAACGUAAUUGCUGUCUGAUGGCUGAACAAAAAUCUAAUCCUGUAUGGCAGCAUUUACCAGGCCAACACCAGGAAAAGCCAGGUGCAAUAUCUGCAGCAGACUGGUGCACUUUCUUUCCCUCAGAAAUUAGGAGUUUGCUGCUAUAUUGUGCACUAAAAGAUUCUGAUGCUGCUAUUUUUGUUUACAAGUUGUAUUGUGUUUUUAAGUCUAUAUUUAAAUUUACACAAAUCAGUAUUCAAUAAAUGCUAAGUUGAGAAA